ACGCAGUGGAUGUCGCGCUAUCGGCCAUCCCGCGGUCGCGGUGAUGGAUAAGAUGAGCCCCCGCUGCCCUUCGAUCCCCUCCGAACCCUAUUCCCCUCGUUCGCCUCCCCCCACGCAUCUCCCUCCCGAUCCCGAGCCCACCUGAGCAAAGCCGCCGUCACGCCAUUGUCGUAGACAUCCUCUGAAGCCCUAUAGCGCCGCACACUGUUGUCCAGGAGCAGCACCAUCGACCUCUACAUCGACUACAUCACCGGAUUGGACGAGAACGCCACUGCAAUCGACGCAUCGUCCACCUAUUCACCCACGGCCGCCGCCGCCAUUGACGCUCGAUCCCUCAUCUCCAGUACGUUCCCGGCCACCUCGAGCUCACCUUCGGCACCGUGAUCCAAGGCAUGGAGAACUCCAAGGAGUUUGCUAACAAGUUGUUCGGGAUAUGUCGAGGCAGAGGAACAUUGAGUCGGAUGAAGGCAUUAACAAGGAUCGGCUCAAAGAGUGGAACAUGAACAUUGAUGGGAUGCUCACAGAAGAUGAGGUCAAGAAGGUGGCUACGCAAAUGAUCCCAAAGAGAAGACUACCGUUGGGCCUUUUGAUCGACCACGCGAUUCAAAAAGCUCUUUAGUGCAGUUUGCAACAACAAAAAUCAGAGGAUUGGUCGUUUGUAAGGGCGGAUAUCUCAGAGGCGGCAGCCACCCGGAUUGGAAUUUAAUUUCAAUCAAUUUCCCUGUCUGAAGUUUCAUACUAGAUGAGUUGCAAGUGGUACUAUGUUCCUACGCUGUGUCGACCCGAGCAGUUGCGAGAGCGAAUGAAGCUGUGGUUGCACGGACAAGCUUGUGGAGAUGUCAGUAUGCACGCAUGCGUCCCUGAUUUGGAUCAUGCCUCUGGCCUGGUAGGAUUCUUGCUCUGCCCCGACCUCAAGGGCGUUCGUCUAUCUGUGUCGUGCUCGGGAAAUGCAGGUGUGGUUCUUCAGCUUUUCUUUGUCUUUUUCUUGGUAUGUAUAUCUCUCAAUCUUGUGAGCCGUGAUUUUCAUGCUGCCACGUAUGCCAUUGUGUCCUGUAUAAUGAUUCUUCUUCUUAUUUUUGAAUGGCAUAAUUAUUCUUAUUGAGGCACUGCCGCUGCCUAAUUUGCUUAUAGAAAUAACAUGCUAAUUA